AACGUAUAUUCUGUACUGUGAUUUCCACUAUUCGAGAAUAUAUACCUUAGACUGUACUUUCAAGUCAAUGGUAUAGAAACGUCUUCUUUCUUACGCAAUCCCUCAGAAUAUUGUAGAUGUCUUAUUCUUUCAAAAAAAUCACAGUGUCUACAUAAAAAGAUGAGGGAAUGCUAUUUACGCACUAGCACCGCGACCCGAUAGCGAUGGGAGUAAAGAGCUCCCAACUGAUUGCCAGACUAUCCACCAAAACCAUCAUCUGUUUUCCGGCGACACCUUAGUGGGGACGCUCGGUGUUGGCCUUUCAGCCCCGUCGUAAGGGACGCUCAAACGUCAUUCCCAACGCCGUCUGCAGGUGACUGUGAGAUCAAGCCCGUCCUCGGCCACCGGAUCCCACCGAGCAACCGAGCAAAGCUUUGAAGAAAAAAUUAUAAUUAUUAUGUUUCACUAGUGGGGAAAACGUGUACAGAUUUUAAUCAUGGCCAAUUUCCGAAAACCCGAAAAAAAAUCGUGACUUUU